rnacentral:rRNA from 1 species
AAUAGAUACCCUGGUAGUCCACGCCGUAAACGGUGGGCACUAGGUGUGGGCGACAUUCCACGUCGUCCGUGCCGCAGCUAACGCAUUAAGUGCCCCGCCUGGGGAGUACGGCCGCAAGGCUAAAACUCAAAGGAAUUGACGGGGGCCCGCACAAGCGGCGGAGCAUGUGGCUUAAUUCGACGCAACGCGAAGAACCUUACCAAGGCUUGACAUACACCGGAAACGUCCAGAGAUGGGCGCCCCCUUGUGGUCGGUGUACAGGUGGUGCAUGGCUGUCGUCAGCUCGCGUCGUGAGAUGUUGGGUUAAGUCCCGCAACGAGCGCAACCCUUGUCCCGUGUUGCCAGCAGGCCCUUGUGGUGCUGGGGACUCACGGGAGACCGCCGGGGUCAACUCGGGAGGAAGGUGGGGACGACGUCAAGUCAUCAUGCCCCUUAUGUCUUGGGCUGCACACGUGCUACAAUGGCCGGUACAAUGAGCUGCGAUACCGCGAGGUGGAGCGAAUCUCAAAAAGCCGGUNUCAGUUCGGAUUGGGGU